UUUUUAAUUAAUAUUUUGUUGUUUAAGUUUUAGGGUUUAGGGUUUAGAGUUUAAUUUAAAAUUAUAACUCGUAUUUAUCUUAUUCUAAUCUAACCAUCGAAACACUAUUUAUCUUAUUCGCUGGAACAAUUCAAUUUUCAUCAAAAUACAAAAUUGGUCUAGUUCCUAUUUAUAUCUGAACUUAUAUCUAUUUCUAGAAUAAACAGUUCUUAUUUAUAUCCAAACCAAAUGCAAUCUUAGAUAUGUUGGCGAGUAAAAGCGACUGGUCGCAAUUAUUAAAAGUUCUUUUUAUAACUUAUAUUUUAUUAUUAUU
rnacentral:lncRNA from 1 species